AACGCUGGCGGCAUGCUUAACACAGCAAGUCGAACGGCAGCACAGUUGAGCUUGCUCCAUGGGUGGCGAGUGGCGGACCGGGUGAGUAAGGCAUCGGGACCUACCCAGACGUGGGGGAUAACGUAGGGAAACUUACGCUAAUACCGCAUACGUCCUACGGGAGAAAGCGGGGGAUCUUCGGACCUCGCGCGGUUGGAUGGACCGAUGUGCGAUUAGCUAGUUGGUGGGGUAACGGCUCACCAAGGCGACGAUCGCUAGCUGGUCUGAGAGGAUGAUCAGCCACACUGGGACUGAGACACGGCCCAGACUCCUACGGGAGGCAGCAGUGGGGAAUAUUGGACAAUGGGCGCAAGCCUGAUCCAGCAAUGCCGCGUGUGUGAAGAAGGCCUUCGGGUUGUAAAGCACUUUUAUCAGGAGCGAAAUCUGCAGGGCUAAUACCCAUGCAGUCUGACGGUACCUGAGGAAUAAGCACCGG
rnacentral:rRNA from 1 species